ensembl:snRNA U1 U1 spliceosomal RNA
ACACUUACCUCGCAAGGGAGAUACAAUGAUGAAAAAGGCGGUUCACCCAGGGCGAGACUCAUCCAUUGCACUCCGGCUGUGCUGACCCCUGCAAAUUGACCAAAUGUGGGAAUCUUGACUGCAGAAUUUUCGUUACUGGGGGACUGACGCACAGCGGUUAAGGAAAUGGCCCUGG